GUUGAGAUGGCUGAGUUGGUCUAAGGCGCUAGAUUAAGGUUCUGGUCCGCAAGGGCGUGGGUUCGAAUCCCACUCUCAACA
rnacentral:tRNA from 1 species